CCUACGGGCGGCAGCAGUGAGGAAUAUUGGUCAAUGGCCGAAAGGCUGAACCAGCCAAGUCGCGUGAGGGAAGACGGCCCUACGGGUUGUAAACCUCUUUUGUCGGGGAGCAAAGCGAGUCACGUGUGACUCAUUGAGAGUACCCGAAGAAAAAGCAUCGGCUAACUCCGUGCCAGCAGCCGCGGUAAUACGGAGGAGGCGAGCGUUAUCCGGAGUUAUUGGGUUUAAAGGGUGCGAAGGCGGAGGUGCAAGUCAGCGGUAAAAGUGCGGGGCUCAACCCCGUACUGCCGUUGACAAUGAAUCCCUUGAGUGCGCGAGAAGUAUGCAGAAUGCGUGGUGUAGCGGUGAAAUGCAUAGAUAUCACGCAGAACUCCGAUUGCGAAGGCAGCAUACCGGAGCGCAACUGACGCUCAUGCACGAAAGCGUGGGUAUCGAACAGGAUUAGAUACCCGGGUAGUC
rnacentral:rRNA from 1 species